rnacentral:tRNA from 1 species
GGUCCGUUGGUCAAGAGGUUAAGACACCGCGUUUUCAUCGCGGUAACACGGGUUCGAGUCCCGUACGGACUA